rnacentral:rRNA from 1 species
AUUGAACGCUGGCGGCAGGCUUAACACAUGCAAGUCGAGCGAGCGGCGGACGGGUGAGUAAUGUAUGGGGAUCUGCCCGAUAGAGGGGGAUAACUACUGGAAACGGUGGAUAAUACCGCAUACUAUCAGAUGAACCCAUAUGGGAUUAGCUAGUAGGUGGGGUAACGGCUCACCUAGGCGACGAUCCCUAGCUGGUCUGAGAGGAUGAGCAGCCACACUGGGACUGAGACACGGCCCAGACUCCUACGGGAGGCAGCAGUGGGGAAUAUUGCCCAAUGGGCGCAAGCCUGAUGCAGCCAUGCCGCGUGUGUGAAGAAGGCCUUCGGGUUGUAAAGUACUUUUAGUAGGGAGGCGUUACCGACAGAAGAAGCACCGGCUAACUCCGUGCCAGCAGCCGCGGUAAUAC